rnacentral:rRNA from 1 species
GACGAACGCUGGCGGCGUGCCUAAUACAUGCAAGUUGAGCGCUGAAGGUUGGUACUUGUACCGACUGGAUGAGCAGCGAACGGGUGAGUAACGCGUGGGGAAUCUGCCUUUGAGCGGGGGACAACAUUUGGAAACGAAUGCUAAUACCGCAUAAAAACUUUAAACACAAGUUUUAAGUUUGAAAGAUGCAAUUGCAUCACUCAAAGAUGAUCCCGCGUUGUAUUAGCUAGUUGGUGAGGUAAAGGCUCACCAAGGCGAUGAUACAUAGCCGACCUGAGAGGGGGAUCGGCCCCAUUGGGACUGAGACACGGCCCAAACUCCUACGGGAGGCAGCAGUAGGGAAUCUUCGGCAAUGGACGAAAGUCUGACCGAGCAACGCCGCGUGAGUGAAGAAGGUUUUCGGAUCGUAAAACUCUGUUGGUAGAGAAGAACGUUGGUGAGAGUGGAAAGCUCAUCAAGUGACGGUAACUACCCAGAAAGGGACGGCUAACUACGUG